CAAUAGCGUAUAUUAAAAUUGUUGCAGUUAAAAAGCUCGUAGUUGGACUUCUGCGGGUGGCGGCCGGUCGUGCUCGAAACGGGCGUGAACUUGGCGUGCUGCCCGCAUCUUUGGGGAGAUUGUGCGUGGCAUUAAGUUGUCGUGCAUGGGAUUCUCAUCAUUUACUGUGAAAAAAUUAGAGUGUUUAAAGCAGGCCUUUGCCUUGAAUACAUUAGCAUGGAAUAAUAAGAUAGGACCGUUGUCUAUUUUGUUGGUUUACAGAUGUCGGUAAUGAUUAAUAGGGAUAGUUGGGGGUAUUCGUAUUCAGUUGUCAGAGGUGAAAUUCUUGGAUUUUCGGAAGACGCACGACUGCGAAAGCAUUUACCAAGGAUGUUUUCAUUAA
rnacentral:rRNA from 1 species